rnacentral:rRNA from 1 species
AGAGUUUGGUUCUGGCUCAGAACGAACGCUGGCAGCGUGGAUUAGGCAUGCAAGUCGAACGAGAUUCCUUGUGAUAGCAAUAUUAUGAGGAUGACAGUGGCGAAAGGGCGAGUAAUGCGUGGGUAAUCUACCGUCAAGAUUGGGACAACCCGCCGAAAGGUGGGCUAAUACCGAGUGUGGUCCUCCGGCGCAUGCCGGGGUGAUUAAAGGUGGGGAUCGCAAGACCUGCCGCUUGAUGAGGAACCCGCGCCCCAUCAGCUAGUUGGUGAGGUAACGGCCCACCAAGGCUUACGGGUAGCUGGUCUGAGAGGAUGGUCAGCCGCACUGGGACUGAGACACUGCCCAGACUCCUACGGGAGGCUGCAGUCGAGGAUCUUUUGCAAUGGGCGAAAGCCUGACAAAGCGACGCUGCGUGGAGGAUGAAGGCCUUCGGGUUGUAAACUCCUGUCAUCCGGGAACAAUUGUCGGUUGGUUAAUACCCGGCCGGCUUGAUGGUACCGGAAGAGGAAGCCACGGCUAACUCUGUGCCAGCAGCCGCGGUAAUACAGAGGUGGCGAGCGUUGUUCGGAUUUACUGGGCGUAAAGGGUGCGUAGGUGGUUUCGUAUGUCGGAUGUGAAAGCCCGCCGCUCAACGGCGGAAAUGCAUUCGAAACUGCGGAACUGGAGUGCAGGAGGGGAGAGCGGAAUACUCGGUGUAGCGGUGAAAUGCGUUGAUAUCGAGUAGAACACCGGUGGCGUAGGCGGCUCUCUGGAAUGCAACUGACACUGAGGCACGAAAGUCAGGGGAGCAAACAGGAUUAGAUACCCUGGUAGUCCUGACUGUAAACGGUGUGCACUUGGUGUGGGGGGAAUUAACCCCCUCCGUGCCGGAGCUAACGCGUUAAGUGCACCGCCUGGGGAGUACGGUCGCAAGAUUAAAACUCAAAGAAAUUGACGGGGGCCCGCACAAGCGGAGGAGCAUGUGGCUCAAUUCGAUGCAACGCGAAGAACCUUACCAGGGCUUGACAUGCAGCUGCAAACCUGUCGAAAGACAGGCGCCUUCGAGGGUGCUGCACAGGUGCUGCAUGGCUGUCGUCAGUUCGUGCCGUGAGGUGUUAGGUUAAGUCCUGCAACGAACGCAACCCCUGUGUCUAGUUGCCACCGCGGUGAUGAAUCGCGAGCACUCUAGACAGACUGCCCGUUUUAAGUGGGAGGAAGGUGGGGAUGACGUCAAGUCAGUAUGGCCUUUAUGCCCUGGGCUGCACACGUGCUACAAUGGCCGGUACAAAGGGAAGCAAGACCGCGAGGUGGAGCAAAUCCCCGAAAACCGGCCCCAGUUCGGAUUGAAGGCUGAAACUCGCCUUCAUGAAGCCGGAUUCGCUAGUAAUGGCGCAUCAGCUACGGCGCCGUGAAUACGUUCCCGGGCCUUGUACACACCGCCCGUCACAUCAUGAAAACCGUCUGCACCAUACGUCGCUGAGCUAACCCGCAAGGGGAGCAGGUGCCUAAGGUGUGGGUGGCGAUUGGGAUGAAGUCGUAACAAGGUA